rnacentral:sRNA from 1 species
UUGACUAGUAGGACUACAUGGGAACUC